UGAAUACGAGAUGCUACGGCGUCGAAGCAGUCUAUGUCAUACUUCCAAGAAAAGCUCGCACUGUCAUAAACAAAUAAUGCCUGUACCAUAACCGACACAGGUGGGUAGGUAGAGUAUACUAAGGGGCGCGAGAUAACUCUCUCUAAGGAACUCGGCAAAAUGACUCCGUAACUUCGGGAGAAGGAGUGCCUUAUUUAUAAGGUUGUAAUAACAAGAUCCAAGCAACUGUUUAUCAAAAACACAGGUCUCCGCUAAGUCGUAAGACGAUGUAUGGGGGCUGACGCCUGCCCAGUGCCAGAAGGUUAAAGAAGUUGGUUAGCAUUCGCGAAGCUGAUAACUGAAGCCCUGGUGAACGGCGGCCGUAACGAUAACGGUCCUAAGGUAGCGAAAUUCCUUGUCGGGUAAGUUCCGACCCGCACGAAAGGCGUAAUGAUUUGGAUACUGUCUCGGAGAGGGGCUCGGUGAAAUAGACUUGUCUGUGAAGAUGCGGACUACCUGCACCGGACAGAAAGACCCUAUGAAGCUUUACUGUAACUUGAGAUUGAAAUUGGACUUUACUUGCGCAGUAUAGGUGGGAGGCGUUGAUAAUAUUCUUGCGGGAUUAUUUGAGCCAUCAGUGAGAUACCACUCUUGUAAUGUUAGAUUUCUAACUUUGUAUCAUUAUCUGGUCAAAGGACAGUUUCAGGCGGGCAGUUUGACUGGGGCGGUCGCCUCCUAAACGGUAACGGAGGCGCACAAAGGUUUCCUCUGAACGGGUAGAAAUCGUAUCUAGAGUGUAAAGGCAUAAGGAAGCUUGACUGUGAGACCUACAAGUCGAGCAGGGACGAAAGUCGGUCUUAGUGAUCUGACGGUGCUGAGUGGAAAGUCCGUCACUCAACGGAUAAAAGUUACUCUAGGAUAACAGGCUGAUCUCCCCCAAGAGUUCACAUCGACGGGGAGGUUUGGCACCUCGAUGUCGGCUCAUCGCAUCCUGGGGCGGUAGUACGUCCCAAGGGUUGGGCUGUUCGCCCAUGAAAGCGGUACGCGAGCUGGGUUCAGAACGUCGUGAGACAGUUCGGUCCACAUCCGGUGUAGGCGUUAGAAUAUUGAGAGGAGCCUUCUUUAGUACGAGAGGACCGAGAAGGACAUACCUCUGGUGUACCAGUUAUCGUGCCAACGGUAAACGCUGGGUAGCUAUGUAUGGAGUGGAUAACCGCUGAAAGCAUCUAAGUGGGAAGCCCACCUCAAGAUAAGUAUUCUCAU
rnacentral:rRNA from 1 species